rnacentral:rRNA from 1 species
CCUACGGGUGGCUGCAGUGGGGAAUAUUGCACAAUGGGGGAAACCCUGAUGCAGCGACGCCGCGUGAGUGAAGAAGUACUUCGGUAUGUAAAGCUCUAUCAGCAGGGCAGAAAAUGACGGUACGUGAGUAAGAAGCCCCGGCUAACUACGUGCCAGCAGCCGCGGUAAUACGUAGGUGGCAAGCGUUCUCCGGAUUUACUGGGUGUAAAGGGAGCGACGACGGCAUGGCAAGUCUGGAGUGAAAGCCGGGGGCUCAACCCCCGGACUGCUCUGGAAACUGUACGGCUGGAGUGCAGGAGAGGUAAGUGGAAUUCCUAGUGUAGCGGUGAAAUGCGUAGAUAUUAGGAGGAACACCAGUGGCGAAGGCGGCUUACUGGACUGUAACUGACGUUGAGGCUCGAAAGCGUGGGGAGCAAACAGGAUUAGAUACCCCAGUAGUC